ensembl:lncRNA
GAUUUAUCACCCUCUGACCUAAUAUUAAGUGUUUCUUUUUUUGAUUUAUCAUUCUUCCCUCCCCACUGGACCAUAACCCUCAUGAUGUCAGGACUUUGUCUUCCUCCUGCUGUGUCCAAGGCACCCAGCAUGGCACCAACACAAAGUAGAGACUCAGUACAAGUUUGUCAAAUGGAUGGAUUAAUGAUAUCAAUAGCACUGAGGUUGACCGAGUACUCCACACAGAGUGAACUAAAUUUGUGGGAAGGAAGGAGAGGAUAGGAGGGUGGGUUGGAUCGAACCUGUGACCCCUGCAUUGGCAAAUGGAUUCUUAUCCACUGUGCCACUAGGGAAGUCCCAGAAUUACUUUCUGUUUCAAUGCAAAAUCCUCUUUCAGGAUGCCUCAUAUAGAGUGGGAUGAAUUCAUUCUUGGAUCUUCUUGGUCUUUUUAUUCCUGUUGUCCAGUGACAUCAUCUGCAAUAUGACCAUUUUUGUUUCAUUCUUAAAUAUGUCCAAUUUUAAGUCUGUGCUUUUUCUUAUUAGCACUUAAUCACAUGGCUUCUACUAUUUUUCAUAAAGUCCAUCCUAGGGAGUUCCCUGGUGGUUCAGUGGUUAAGACUCAGUACUUUCACUGCCAUGGUCCCAGGUUCAAUUCCCAGUCCCUGUUCAGAGAACUAAGAUGCUAUACAAACAUACAAAAAAAUAGAAAAGAUUAAUCACCAAGUAUUCAUUACCCAGAUCCAACAAUUAUCAACACUUUCCCAACUUUGUGUUAAGCAACAUUAUCAGAAACCUGGAAAUAAGGAAACUAUACUGUGUCAUCCUGUGUGCCUUUUCAAAUCAUACUAGAGCAUGGUCUAACAAACCCACCCAAAGUCUAACAAACCAUUCUUGAGAAAGUUUUCCUAAACUCAGCACUGUUUGCAUUUGGGGCCAAAUAACUCUGUCGUACCAGGUUGUUCUCUGUGUGGUUGAAAGCAUCCAUGGCAUCCACUCCUCCCCCUAAACUGUCUCCAAAAAUUGCUUAAUGUUCCCUGGGGAUUAAAACUCGACCAGUUUGAGAACCCACUGCUCUGGUAGCAUGUACCCUUGUUUGGGUCACUUUUUACUAAUAAUUAGGAUGCAGACUACAUAGAUAAAAUGUUAACUUGGCAGUUGGUACAUUUCAUAUAUUUGUUCUAUAUAAACUGAUUCUCUGAAGAAAAGAUUACCUUCAAGCUUAUGGUUUUAUUGCCCUAUAGGACAUUAGUUUUUUUUUGUUGUUUUUGUUUGUUUGUUUGUUUUUUGUUUGUUUUUAGUUUUUUAAUUUUUAAAUCUUUAAUUCUUACAUGUGUUCCCAAACAUGAAC